GACGAACGCUGGCGGCGUGCCUAAUACAUGCAGGUAGAACGCUGAAGGAGGAGCUUGCUUCUCUGGAUGAGUUGCGAACGGGUGAGUAACGCGUAGGUAACCUGCCUGGUAGCGGGGGAUAACUAUUGGAAACGAUAGCUAAUACCGCAUAAGAGUAGAUGUCGCAUGACAUUUGCUUAAAAGGUGCAAUUGCAUCACUACCAGAUGGACCUGCGUUGUAUUAGCUAGUUGGUGAGGUAACGGCUCACCAAGGCAACGAUACAUAGCCGACCUGAGAGGGUGAUCGGCCACCCUGGGACUGAGACACGGCCCAGACUCCUACGGGAGGCAGCAGUAGGGAAUCUUCGGCAAUGGACGGAAGUCUGACCGAGCAACGCCGCGUGAGUGAAGAAGGUUUUCGGAUCGUAAAGCUCUGUUGUAAGAGAAGAACGAGUGUGAGAGUGGAAAGUUCACACUGUGACGGUAUCUUACCAGAAAGGGACGGCUAACUACGUG
rnacentral:rRNA from 1 species